rnacentral:rRNA from 1 species
AUUGAACGCUGGCGGCAUGCCUUACACAUGCAAGUCGAACGGUAACAGGUUAAGCUGACGAGUGGCGAACGGGUGAGUAACACAUCGGAACGUGCCCAAUCGUGGGGGAUAACGUAGCGAAAGCUACGCUAAUACCGCAUACGAUCUACGGAUGAAAGCGGGGGAUCGCAAGACCUCGCGCGAAUGGAGCGGCCGAUGGCAGAUUAGGUAGUUGGUGAGGUAAAGGCUCACCAAGCCUGCGAUCUGUAGCUGGUCUGAGGGGACGACCAGCCAGACUGGGACUGGGACACGGCCCAGACUCCUACGGGAGGCAGCAGUGGGGAAUUUUGGACGAUGGGCGCAAGCCUGAUCCAGCAAUGCCGCGUGCAGGAUGAAGGCCUUCGGGUUGUAAACUGCUUUUGUACGGAACGAAACGGUCCUUUCUAAUACAGGGGGCUAAUGACGGUACCGUAAGAAUAAGCACCGGCUAACUACGUGCCAGCAGCCGCAGUAA